rnacentral:rRNA from 1 species
AUUGAACGCUGGCGGCAGGCUUAACACAUGCAAGUCGAGCGGAGAUGAGGUGCUUGCACCUUAUCUUAGCGGCGGACGGGUGAGUAAUGCUUAGGAAUCUGCCUAUUAGUGGGGGACAACAUUCCGAAAGGAAUGCUAAUACCGCAUACGACCUACGGGGGAAAGCAGGGGAUCUUCGGACCUUGCGCUAAUAGAUGAGCCUAAGUCGGAUUAGCUAGUUGGUGGGUUAAAGGCCUACCAAGGCGACGAUCUGUAGCGGGUCUGAGAGGAUGCUCCGCCACACUGGGACUGAGACACGGCCCAGACUCCUACGGGAGGCAGCAGUGGGGAAUAUUGGACAAUGGGCGGAAGCCUGAUCCAGCCAUGCCGCGUGUGUGAAGAAGGCCUUUUGGUUGUAAAGCACUUUAAGCGAGGAGGAGGCUACCUGGAUUAAUACUCUAGGAUAGUGGACGUUACUCGCAGAAUAAGCACCGGCUAACUCUGUGCCAGCCGCCGCGGUAACAC